rnacentral:lncRNA from 1 species
AUAAUCCAUACAUCAUAUAUAUAACAUCCAUAAUCCAUACAUCAUAUAUAUAACAUCCUUAAUCCAUACAGCAUAUAACACAUCCAUAAUCCAUACAUCAUAUAUAUAACAUCCAUAAUCCAUGUCAUAAUAUUUGGCAUUACUACAUAUAUAUACAUCAUAUAUAUAACAUCAUAUAUAUAAUCCAUGUCAUAAUAUUUGGCAUUACUACAUAAAAUUUGGCAUUACGAUAAAUGUCUUCAUGUCAAUAUCGUAGUCCAAAGAACAUCUGUAUGACAACCUACAAGAUGAAGUCAUGCACAUAUGUCAGAUUUUGGCACACAAUAAAUAAAGGUUAUCCACUUCUUGGCACACAAUAAAAUUUGAGGAACACAUAGGAAAUCUUCAAGCAGGGAGACUCACAAAUAAAAAACAUAACUGGCAACUGCAUGGUGAUCGGACAUGUUUCAUUACAAGUAGGAAUAGAUUGAUAACGAUGACAAAAGAAGAAACAAAAAUACAGAUGAACCCAUACAAAGAGACCCGCCACACACGAAGGGAGAACCUGCAGGCGUAGGCAUGCACAAGGACGCAACCAUGAGCAUGCGUCGCAUGCGACAACCAAGAACCAAUCUAGGAAUUCAUCAUGUAGGUGAACUAUCAAUCGCUUAUCAGGGUGGGCGUUCGGUUCCCCCCGAACCAAACGGUUCGGUACUUUGGUGUUUAAGUUUUCUCGGUUCUAAGAAAACGUGGACCGAUUGAUCUGUUAAAUGGUGCACCGUGCAAUCAGUAUCGAGUUAGACUGUCGGUUGUUCGUGCAGGGUCUGAAACAAGAUACGAUUAAUAGGUCCAUGAUGCUCUCUGUUUUUUCUGACACUAAAGAGGCCCUGAAGGCACUUGCUCACAAGCUUGGGUCGGUAGGGACCAGAACAAGCUUGCUCACAAUCUUGCUGAUAGAGCUAGAAGACAGGAGAUCUCUUAUGUCUAUCGGACGUGGAAUUAAGAGAGCUCUUACAUGCUGAAUGUAAUCCGGGUCAUUUUGUGUAUGAUUUUUUUCAACAACAAGCUUAUCGGAUCAGCUACUCCUGCCUAAAUCAACCAAAUAAGUACAGAGUUAUCUUAUGUUAUUUCAAGGUAGAACCAAGGAGAUUAUUAAAUUAUUUCCUCCUUUAUUAACAAAACACGCAGAAAACUGUUUUUCCGUGCAAAAAAAGGUAUGUUGAUUAUCUAGGCUUCUCCUGAAGGAUAUCUAUCUACUAUUCUAUCACUCCUUUGAAGUUAUUUCUUUUACUCAGUGAUUCUGCUGUAUAUCAAAUUAUUUUUUAAUUCCAGUAGUUCUUACUUAGUAUAUGUUCCUUUUUUCUAGUCUGAAUUGGUGGAAGGCCAAUCGUACUAAGAGCAGACCCAAUGUUGGUCAUAGAACAAACUUCAAUUCAAGACCAAGUUAUAACUUUGAUUUGCUUUCCAGAGUUUAAUUCUAGUGGAAUAUACUCCAAAAUGGAUCCAGCAAUGUUUGUGUCACCAAAGCUAGAAAAUUUCAAGGUAAAUAUAGACUAUGUGCUAUCUUGAAAGUUUUAGAUAUUCUGUUUUGCUUUUCUCAUUACAAUAUUAUUGUACUGCAUGAAGAUAAUGUUGUGAGAUCAUACAUAGAAGUGAUUAUUGUUCCCUUGACAAACUCCUGAUUUCAUCAUGUCCUAUAAUCAUAUCACUUUCACUUGCACUGUCUUCGCUCUAUAUUUUGGCUCACUACUUAAUGCUUUGGCAUGAAGAAUUGGUGACGAAGAGCGUGGAUUGAGAAAAUCAGAUAAUUACGUACUCUGUUUGUGUCUAUGUUCUACGAAGCAGGUAUUCAUGUAAGUAUUAUUUGUACAGGGUUUGAAGACAGAUUACUCAUCUAAAUAAAAGGUAGCUAGAUUACUCAUCUAAAUAAAAGGUAGGUAGUCAUCUAAAUAAAAGGCAGGUAUUCAUCUAAAUAAAAGGAUCAUGUGUAAGUAUUCUUUUUUUUAUCACAAGUAGUUGUUAGUUGUGCUAAAUAAAAGACAGAACUUGAGAAGGUCUCCCCAUCACUGGGCCGGACUGCUAUUUACACAAGAGAGUCGAGAAUAAAUGAGUUGCCUAGGCAAGAGGAUAAUUCUCAUUCAUCAUUUUUCUCAUCUUAGUCAGAUUCUUUCUAUACUGAGCCGAGAGAAAUCGAAGGCCUCCCACUCCUCCUCUGUUUAUUAUCUAUUAAAUGAGGUGCAAACUCUCUCCUGAUUAUUAAUCUGAUUACAAGGUAUUUAAGGAUAGGUCAUUAGCUUGCAUUUCGCUGGUUUGUGAGUAUGUUCUUCCAGCCGUCGUCGUAGUGGUCUAACUGAUGACUAGGCAUUUAGGUUACAUGAUCGUAUGGUAUGGCAUGGUUGCUUGUCAAUACAGGAAGCAACUACUUGACGCUCAAACGGAUGUAUCUGCACUAUAUGUUUGAGCGUCGAGUAAUUCCGGGCGGAGGGAGUAGAUAGAUAACUAUUAAACAAAGAAGCAACUACCAUGAGAGGUAAAUAUUAUGAAGAGAAAUGACCUUGAAAAUAUGAGAGAUAGAGAGAGAGAGCAACCUGCAACACCCAUGUUGGGUUGUACGUGAUGGUCAAAGGAGUUGUGCGACAAAGUAGGCGACCACAUCCAGCGCCACCGGUAGCUAGUCAGAAGAAACAAUAAUUAGGCUAAGAG